rnacentral:rRNA from 1 species
AUACGUAGGGGGCAAGCGUUAUCCGGAAUCAUUGGGCGUAAAGAGUGCGUAGGUGGUUUCUUAAGCGUGGGGUUUAAGGCUACGGCUUAACCGUAGUUCGCCCCAUGAACUGGGAGACUUGAGUGCAGGAGGGGAAAGUGGAAUUCCUAGUGUAGCGGUGAAAUGCGUAGAUAUUAGGAGGAACACCAGUGGCGAAGGCGGCUUUCGGGACUGUAACUGACACUGAGGCACGAAAGCGUGGGGAGCAAACAGGAUUAGAUCCCCUGGUAGUCCACGCCGUAAACUAUGAGCACUAGGUGUCGGGGAGACAAUCCUCGGUGCCGCAGUUAACGCAUUAAGUGCUCCGCCUGGGGAGUACGGUCGCAAGAAUAAAACUCAAAUGAAUUGACGGGG